rnacentral:rRNA from 1 species
ACGCACGCUGGCGGCAUGCCUAACACAUGCAAGUCGAACGAGACCUUCGGGUCUAGUGGCGCACGGGUGCGUAACGCGUGGGAACCUGCCCUUAGGUUCGGAAUAACUCCCCGAAAGGGGUGCUAAUACCGGAUAAUGUCUUCGGACCAAAGAUUUAUCGCCUUUGGAUGGGCCCGCGUUGGAUUAGCUAGUUGGUAGGGUAAAAGCCUACCAAGGCGACGAUCCAUAGCUGGUCUGAGAGGAUGAUCAGCCACACUGGGACUGAGACACGGCCCAGACUCCUACGGGAGGCAGCAGUGGGGAAUAUUGGACAAUGGGCGAAAGCCUGAUCCAGCAAUGCCGCGUGAGUGAUGAAGGCCUUAGGGUUGUAAAGCUCUUUCACCCGGGAUGAUAAUGACAGUACCGGGAGAAUAAGCUCCGGCUAACUCCGU